CACGUAGGGCGCGAGCGUUGUCCGGAUUUAUUGGGCGUAAAGAGCUCGUAGGCGGCUCAGUAAGUCGGGUGUGAAAACUCCAGGCUCAACCUGGAGACGCCACCCGAUACUGCUGUGGCUAGAGUCCGGUAGGGGAGCAUGGAAUUCCUGGUGUAGCGGUGAAAUGCGCAGAUAUCAGGAGGAACACCAGUGGCGAAGGCGGUGCUCUGGGCCGGAACUGACGCUGAGGAGCGAAAGCGUGGGGAGCAAACGGG
rnacentral:rRNA from 1 species